GAACCUAGUGACAGGCCAUCUGGUGCUGGUGACGUGGAAGCUUUUCAGCCCUCGGUUUCUCAAGAUGCACAAAGCAGCACCGAGCAAGUGGUGCCAGAGGAGCUCGAACCCUGGACCUCACAGGAGUUGGAGGAAGCACUCCUCGAUGGUCAUUCAGAGGCCUUACAAACUGUGAUUGGCAGUGAAAGGGACGAUGGAAAGCUCUAUGCAGGGAGCAGUCAAUGGCUCGAGAAGGAGGCAUGGGGCACUCUGUUCCGGGCCCCGACGGAUUCUUUAUUUUGCCGCAUGGCGACGAACGUUUUUUGGACGCCCGAG